GUGACAUCUCGAGGAUACCGCGGUAUUGAUGACAAAGAUGGGGACUAGCAAUGCAAAAAAGCAAAGGUUAACAUUUGUGGCGAUGCACUGCCUGAAGGAAUUCCACAACCUAAUCCGACAACAUGACUAACAGCGCUAUGCGAGCGCUGUGAAAGGGUCUCUUUGAGCUACAAUAACGUCGGAACUAAUA